rnacentral:lncRNA from 1 species
CUCAUAGAAUUAUCAAAUGAUAUAAAACUUUCUGAUAUUAAAUUACGAAAAAUGCUUGAGUAACUCAAAUAAGUCCCUCAAGGAGUGACCACUCUAUUUGAAUCGGCUUCUUGAACUGUGUCAACAAAUGAAGCAAGGUGAUUGGUGCAAAGAUUUGCUGAGUUACUCUUUCAAGUAGCUUUUCUGGGUUACCGUAGCAUUAUUGCUCUAGGACAACACGCUUCGGGCGUCCUCCGGCACGCCAAUUAACGGCUCCCCA